rnacentral:lncRNA from 1 species
ACUACAAAGGAGAGUUAGUUUUCUACAUUGUCACCUGCAGGUCCUGGCUCCAUACUGUUAACUGCUUAAAGCAGUGGUAGAUUGCCUUCAGUUCUUCAUGAUGUGACUGUCAGGCAAGGAGUGCUUGUCUGACUGCUGCUCCCAUUUACUCAAAAGGAAGAUCUGGUAUCAACACUAAGCACUAGCUUUGGGAGUCCUGCAGUCUUGGAUCAGGAUGGGGAGAUAAGAUUGUGUCUUUCAGGAGCGAGCCCAGGAAGACUAAGCUCCAGAAAGAGAUGUGAAUGGAGG